UGGAAAGAUUAAGCAAAAGUGAACCAUCUACUAUUGUGUCUACAUUAAACAUCGAAGUGGGCGUAAAAAACGAACUACUGUUCGUGAGCCGAUUCCAGCUGAACCCAUCUCCUUAGAUCAAGAAGAGAAGAUGGUAAUUGUACCUUUUACUUCGAAAGAGGCUCCUGGGUCACAUAACACUGAAGAAAGUACGCUGUCGAUCACUCUUCGUCAAAUAAGCCGAUGAAGCAAGCCCGUAUCAUACCCUAGCUGAAAAGUUUUCUCAUUCAUAGUGCCCUCGUGUUGGAUAUUGGUUAAAUAAAUUGAGAAUUGAAAAUCGAUUAAAGUUCGUAUCAAAUUCGGCCAAAUACUCAAAAGCUCGACUCAAUCCGUUUAGGCAAAAUUGUUUGCCACUUCGCCGCUUCGGGGCGCACAAACGGG
rnacentral:lncRNA from 1 species